rnacentral:rRNA from 1 species
CCUACGGGAGGCAGCAGUGGGGAAUAUUGGACAAUGGGCGCAAGCCUGAUCCAGCAAUGCCGCGUGAAUGAUGAAGGCCUUAGGGUUGUAAAGUUCUUUCGUCGGGGAGGCGGUACCCGAAGAAGAAGCCCCGGCUAACUUCGUGCCAGCAGCCGCGGUAAUACGAAGGGGGCUAGCGUUGUUCGGAAUUACUGGGCGUAAAGGGCGCGUAGGCGGCCAUUCAAGUUAGAUGUGAAAGCCCUGGGCUCAACCUAGGAAUUGCAUUUGAUACUGUUUGGCUUGAGUUCGGGAGAGGUGAGUGGAAUUCCCAGUGUAGAGGUGAAAUUCGUAGAUAUUGGGAAGAACACCAGUGGCGAAGGCGGCUCACUGGACCGAACUGACGCUGAGGCGCGAAAGCGUGGGGAGCAAACAGGAUUAGAUACCCUAGUAGUC